GUGCUCGCUUCGGAAGCACAUAUACUGAAAUUGGAACGAUACAGAGAAGAUUAGCAUGGCCCCUGCACAAGGAUGACACGCAAAUUCAUGAAGCGUUCCAUAUUUUU
rnacentral:snRNA from 1 species